GACGAACGCUGGCGGCGUGCUUAACACAUGCAAGUCGAACGGAAAGGCCUGCUUUCCCUUGUGGAUUGCGGGUACUCGAGUGGCGAACGGGUGAGUAACACGUGAGUGAUCUGCCCCCAACUUGGGUAUAAGCCUGGGAAACUGGGUCUAAUUCCCGAUAGGACUGCAGGGUGGUGCCUGUGGUGGAAAACGAUUUUCUAGUGGUUGGGGAUGAGCUCGCGGCCUAUCAGCUUGUUGGUGGGGUAAUGGCCUACCAAGGCGGCGACGGGUAGCCGGCCUGAGAGGGUGGACGGUCACAUUGGGACUGGGAUACGGCCCAGACUCCUACGGGAGGCAGCAGUGGGGAAUAUUGCACAAUGGGCGGAAGCCUGAUGCAGCGACGCCGCGUGGGGGAUGACGGCCUUCGGGUUGUAAACUCCUUUCGACCGCGAGGAAGCCACCUGGUUGGAGGGGUGGUGACGGUAGUGGUAGAAGAAGCACCGGCUAACUACGUG
rnacentral:rRNA from 1 species